GAUGAACGCUGGCGGCGUGCCUAACACAUGCAAGUCGAACGGAGAUUACGGACGGAAGUUUUCGGAUGGAAGACUGUAAUUCUUAGUGGCGGACGGGUGAGUAACGCGUGGGCAACCUGCCCUAUACAGGGGGAUAGCAGCUGGAAACGGCUGGUAAGACCGCAUAAGUCGGGGAGACCGCAUGGUUUUGCCGGGAAAUGAGCAAUCAGGUAUAGGAUGGGCCCGCGUCCGAUUAGCCAGUUGGCAGGGUAAAAGCCUACCAAAGCAACGAUCGGUAGCCGGACUGAGAGGUCGGACGGCCACAUUGGGACUGAGACACGGCCCAAACUCCUACGGGAGGCAGCAGUGGGGGAUAUUGCACAAUGGAGGAAACUCUGAUGCAGCGACGCCGCGUGAGUGAAGAAGUAUUUCGGUAUGUAAAGCUCUAUCAGCAGGGAAGAUGAUGACGGUACCUGACUAAGAAGCCCCGGCUAACUACGUG
rnacentral:rRNA from 1 species